rnacentral:rRNA from 1 species
GUGUCAGCAGCCGCGGUAAUACGUAGGUGGCAAGCGUUGUCCGGAUUUAUUGGGCGUAAAGCGAGCGCAGGCGGUUUCUUAAGUAUGAUGUGAAAGCCCUCGGCUCAACCGAGGAAGGUCAUUGGAAACUGGGGAACUUGAAUGCAGAAGAGGAGAGUGGAAUUCCAUGUGUAGCGGUGAAAUGCGUAGAUAUAUGGAGGAACACCAGUGGCGAAGGCGACUCUCUGGUCUGUAAUUGACGCUGAGGCUCGAAAGCGUGGGGAGCAAACAGGAUUAGAAACCCUAGUAGUCC